rnacentral:rRNA from 1 species
UACGAAGGGUGCAAGCGUUACUCGGAAUUACUGGGCGUAAAGGGUGCGUAGGUGGUUUGUUAAGUCUGCUGUGAAAUCCCCGGGCUCAACCUGGGAAUGGCAGUGGAUACUGGCAAGCUAGAGUGCGGUAGAGGGUAGUGGAAUUCCCGGUGUAGCAGUGAAAUGCGUAGAGAUCGGAAGGAACACCAGUGGCGAAGGCGGCCGCCUGGGCAGUAACUGACGCUGAUGCGCGAGAGCGUGGGGAGCAAACAGG